GCCCACCAAGGCGACGAUCGGUAGCCGGACUGAGAGGUUGAACGGCCACAUUGGGACUGAGACACGGCCCAGACUCCUACGGGAGGCAGCAGUGGGGAAUAUUGCACAAUGGGGGAAACCCUGAUGCAGCGACGCCGCGUGGAGGAAGAAGGUCUUCGGAUUGUAAACUCCUGUUGUUGAGGAAGAUAAUGACGGUACUCAACAAGGAAGUGACGGCUAACUACGUGCCAGCAGCCGCGGUAAAACGUAGGUCACAAGCGUUGUCCGGAAUUACUGGGUGUAAAGGGAGCGCAGGCGGGAAGACAAGUUGGAAGUGAAAUCCAUGAGCUCAACCCAUGAACUGCUUCCAAAACUGUUUUUCUUGAGUAGUGCAGAGGUAGGCGGAAUUCCCGGUGUAGCGGUGGAAUGCGUAGAUAUCGGGAGGAACACCAGUGGCGAAGGCGGCCUACUGGGCACCAACUGACGCUGAGGCUCGAAAGUGUGGGUAGCAAACAGGAUUAGAUACCCUGGUAGUCCACACUGU
rnacentral:rRNA from 1 species